rnacentral:lncRNA from 12 species
GGCUGGGCCAAAUCUCUCCAACAAAGAUGGACAAAGCUCUUCGUAGAGAAAUUGGAAAAUCUGACAGUCUUUGGGGAAAAGAGGUCCUCUUGGAACGUGAAUCUGCCCUUGGGCAAAGCGACUUUACAUAGUCAUGGUCUCUGCACAAAAGUACAAAUAAAACUACUAAGAAAUCUAAGGGAAAGAAGGAGAGGAAGAACCAGAUGAAAAAUCAUAUGCAGUUUUUAAAGAAAUCAAAGACAAAGCAUUUUUUGUGUGUGUUUUUGAAAAGGACAAGAUCACUCGCUACCUCAUCUUUUAUAACUAAAACUGGCAUGAACAACAUGUGUCAUUUGCUGCACAAAUUCCAGGUCCAUCCAGACUGAACUCACAGAGAGUCAAUUCCUUCCUUAUCACUUCUGGGCUCAUAGGAAGCAGUGUGCUUUGGCCAUGUGGAGGAAAGCCAAUGUAGAAGUGGAAAAAUUAAUGCCCCAUUGGGU